rnacentral:tRNA from 1 species
GCAUACUUAGCUCAGUGGUUAGAGCGUCCGCCUAGUGUUUUGAGGUCGCAGGUUCAAAUCCUGCAGUGUGCA